rnacentral:rRNA from 1 species
AUUGAACGCUGGCGGCAUGCUUUACACAUGCAAGUCGAACGGCAGCGCGGGCUUCGGCCUGGCGGCGAGUGGCGAACGGGUGAGUAAUACAUCGGAACGUGCCCAGUAGUGGGGGAUAGCUCGGCGAAAGCCGGAUUAAUACCGCAUACGACCUGAGGGUGAAAGCGGGGGAUCUUCGGACCUCUCGCUAUUGGAGCGGCCGAUGGCAGAUUAGCUAGUUGGUGGGGUAAAGGCCUACCAAGGCGACGAUCUGUAGCUGGUCUGAGAGGACGACCAGCCACACUGGGACUGAGACACGGCCCAGACUCCUACGGGAGGCAGCAGUGGGGAAUUUUGGACAAUGGGCGAAAGCCUGAUCCAGCAAUGCCGCGUGUGUGAUGAAGGCCUUCGGGUUGUAAAGCACUUUUGGCGGGAACGAAAAGGACUGUGCCAAUACCACGGUUCGAUGACGGUACCCGCAGAAUAAGCACCGGCUAACUACGUG